rnacentral:rRNA from 1 species
CGCUGGCGGCGUGCCUAACACAUGCAAGUCAACUUGACUGAAGGAAGCAAUCUGACAGUAGAGUGGCGCAAGGGUGCGUAACGCGUAGUAACUUGCCCAAGGUAAGGAAUAACGUCGAGAAAUCGGCGCUAAUACCUCAUAAUGCAGCGGAUCCGCAUGGAUAUGUUGUUAAAGGUUUACCGCCUUGGGAUAGGCUUGCGUCUGAUUAGUUAGUUGGUGUGGUAACGGCACACCAAGGCUACGAUCAGUAACUGGUCUGAGAGGAUGAUCAGUCACACUGGAACUGAGACACGGUCCAGACUCCUACGGGAGGCAGCAGUGAGGAAUAUUGGGCAAUGCUCGAAAGAGUGACCCAGCAACGCCGCGUGGAGGAUGAAGGUAUUCUAUAUCGUAAACUCCUGUGAGAGCAGACGAAAGACAGAUUAUUAAUCUGGAUGACUGUAUGCUCAGAGGAAGCCCCGGCUAACUACGUG